GACGGGUUUGAUAGUUUGGUGGCAGGUUUCGGCCUUGUUUCGGGAAGUUUACGUCUUUCGCUCGUUG
rnacentral:tRNA from 1 species